GAAAGGCUUUUUCCUGGAAGAGGAUGGGAAGACCUGCACCAAGGGGGAGAGAGCAGCUCGCCUGUUUGAGACGUCAGACAACGUGAUGAAGGCUGGGGCAUGCUCUGCUACAUGUGAAGACUUCCACCACAUCAAGAUUACUGUCUUUCAGCUCAAACAAAAGAUUGCCAUGUUGCCCAGCAACGCUGAUGUUACCAAGCAGAUGACCAGUGAGAAGAGGCUGAUGUCACACUCCUUCCUACCCGGGCCGCCUGGUCUGCCCGGUCC